rnacentral:tRNA from 1 species
UCCCUGGCAGUCCAGUAGUUAGGACUCUGCACUUCCAAUGCAGGGGGCCCGGGUUCGAUUCCUGAUUGGGGAG